rnacentral:rRNA from 1 species
GCUUGGCCCUAAAUCUCGAUGCUUGCCCUACCAAAGCGUCCGCCCGAGAACUACGAGCACAAACGCUUAAAACUCUAAGGACUUGGCGGUGCCCCAAACCCACCUAGAGGAGCCUGUUCUAUAAUCGACAACCCACGAUACACCCGACCACUUCUUGCUAAAACAGCCUACAUACCGCCGUCGCCAGCCCACCUCCCAUGAGAGUACAACAGUGAGCAUAAUAGCCCUAACCCCGCUAACAAGACAGGUCAAGGUAUAGCUUAUGAAGUGGAAGAAAUGGGCUACAUUUUCUAACCUAGAAUACCCCCAUACUCCAACGAAAGGGAGUGUGAAACAACUCCCAGAAGGCGGAUUUAGCAGUAAAGCGGGAUAAUAAAGCCCACUUUAAAUCGGCUCUGAAGCAC